CCUACGGGAGGCUGCAGUGGGGAAUAUUGCACAAUGGGCGCAAGCCUGAUCCAGCCAUGCCGCGUGUGUGAAGAAGGCCUUCGGGUUGUAAAGCACUUUCAGCGGGGAGGAAGGCGGUGAGGUUAAUAACCUCAUCGAUUGACGUUACCCGCAGAAGAAGCACCGGCUAACUCCGUGCCAGCAGCCGCGGUAAUACGGAGGGUGCAAGCGUUAAUCGGAAUUACUGGGCGUAAAGCGCACGCAGGCGGUCUGUCAAGUCGGAUGUGAAAUCCCCGGGCUCAACCUGGGAACUGCAUUCGGAACUGGCAGGCUAGAGUCUGGUAGAGGGGGGUAGAAUUCCAGGUGUAGCGGUGAAAUGCGUAGAGAUCUGGAGGAAUACCGGUGGCGAAGGCGGCCCCCUGGACAAAGACUGACGCUCAGGUGCGAAAGCGUGGGGAGCAAACAGGAUUAGAUACCCGGGUAGUC
rnacentral:rRNA from 1 species